rnacentral:pre_miRNA from 1 species
GGAAGUUAAAAAACUGUUUCUUAACUUUUAACUAAAAAAGCUAAGAACCGGUUUUUAAAUAAGGACUUUAAGAACCGGUUCUUAGUUUUUUUAGUUAAAAGUUAAGAAACAGUUUCUUAACUUCC